AUUGAACGCUGGCGGCAUGCUUUACACAUGCAAGUCGAACGGUAACAGGCCUUCGGGUGCUGACGAGUGGCGAACGGGUGAGUAAUGCAUCGGAACGUGCCCAGAGGUGGGGGAUAACGCAGCGAAAGCUGUGCUAAUACCGCAUGUGAUCUGAGGAUGAAAGCGGGGGACCACGCAGCAAUGUUUGGCCUCGCGCCUCUGGAGCGGCCGAUGUCAGAUUAGGUAGUUGGUGGGGUAAAGGCCUACCAAGCCGACGAUCUGUAGCUGGUCUGAGAGGACGACCAGCCACCCUGGGACUGAGACACGGCCCAGACUCCUGCGGGAGGCAGCAGUGGGGAAUUUUGGACAAUGGGCGCAAGCCUGAUCCAGCAAUGCCGCGUGCGAGAAGAAGGCCUUCGGGUUGUAAACCGCUUUUGUACGGAACGAAAAGGCUCUGGCUAAUACCUGGGGCUGAUGACGGUACCGGAAGAAUAAGCACCGGCUAACUACGUG
rnacentral:rRNA from 1 species